rnacentral:lncRNA from 1 species
GCACAUGUAUACUAAUAAAAAAUACAUAGUAUCCCUUUGGGGUAGGAAUUAGGGUUUGCACAACUCAACUUUCUCAUCUAUUAAUAUAUUUAUUCUUCUCUUUUUUCAUUUUUUAAGCCAAAGAGAUUAACAGACACUUUAAUUCCUGAAGAAUUUCAUAUCGGGUCAAGUACAGGAGCUUCAGGUUUGGAGAGCUAUGAUGAGAUUGUAGAAGAGUACCAUGACUUAUAUACAUUACAAAGAGGAAGGAUUGGCACUGAUAGUAAACAGUUAAUGGAAGAAAGAGAUAUCUGGAGCUCAGCCACAUAUAAGUUGGCUCUAAAGGUAAUUGAAAGAAAUGGAGUCAUAUUGGCCAAAAGGCUCUUCCUCAAUGAAAAAGGCUGGAAUAAAUACACUAAGCAUUUCAUCACAGUGCUGUCAAACAAGGACACUGCAGACCUUGCAUUGUUGCAGAAAUUGACACACAAAUGGAGAAACUUACUGAAUAAAUUUAAACAGGAUGUUGAACAAACAGAAGAGUCUACAAGGGAGAAAUUGCAAAUUGUUAAGGAUGGCCUUAUGAAAUGGCAGCAGUUCUAUGAAAAUAAGUGAGUCUCUAAGAAUCCUCUUUUUCUGAUUAUAGCAUGUCUAAAUAACUCAGUACA